UGGGGAAUUUUGGACAAUGGGGGCAACCCUGAUCCAGCCAUGCCGCGUGAGUGAAGAAGGCCUUCGGGUUGUAAAGCUCUUUCGGCCGGGAAAAAAUCGCAUGGGCUAAUACCCUGUGUGGAUGAUGGUACCGGAAUAAGAAGCACCGGCUAACUACGUGCCAGCAGCCGCGGUAAUACGUAGGGUGCGAGCGUUAAUCGGAAUUACUGGGCGUAAAGCGUGCGCAGGCGGUUUUUUAAGACAGGCGUGAAAUCCCCGGGCUCAACCUGGGAACUGCGCUUGUGACUGGAAGGCUAGAGUACGGCAGAGGGGGGUGGAAUUCCACGUGUAGCAGUGAAAUGCGUAGAGAUGUGGAGGAACACCAAUGGCGAAGGCAGCCCCCUGGGUCGAUACUGACGCUCAUGCACGAAAGCGUGGGGAGCAAACA
rnacentral:rRNA from 1 species